rnacentral:misc_RNA from 1 species
AAGCAAGAAUUUUUUGAGUAUACUGGUAAAAAUUAGAAAAAGCAACGCCCAAUGUUGACCACAUCAGGUCCACAAGCAAUUUCGUGCCAGAAUUUCACACUUAAAUUGCAUCCGAUGUGUGAAGUAAUAAUUGUACUACAGGACAAAAAUAACAGAGAAGACAUGAGAAAUGAGUAAAUGCUUCCAUAAGCUAUAUUUUGUUUAAUAAAGGAAGGAAUUAGCUAUAUCCAAAGUUAAAUGCAUGCACCAGUGCUUGUUUGUGUAAUUAAUCUUUUAUUCAUCGGGAGGGAAGUCCUCGUCUGAGGCGUUUUCCAGGAAGGAGCCAAGCGUUUUCCUCAAAAUGCUGAAAGUUUUAUCAUCCUGCUUUUUCUUUUUCAAGGACUCCUCUAAUUUUGCAAUUUUAUCAGCACAAGCUUUCUCUUGUUCAGAUAUCAUAUUUUUCUCUUUCUUCCCUGAUAUUGACCCAUAACAGAAUGAGUGCAAUAAUUUUAUGUUUUACUCAAGAAAGAAAGAGUAUUGUUAAACAGUGCUCACUCAGUUGUUCAUAUCUCAUGAACAGCCUUUCCUUGUCUUCUUCAAAUUUGGAAAUGGUGUCUUUUAAGGCCUGCAAAUGAGACGCUUUCUCCUUGCAGAAUUUCUCAUGAAUCUCUUGAAACUUGGUAGUCUCAUUCUUCAAGCAAUUCUCACACUCUUUUGAGCUCUUUGAAAGUGCCCUUGCAAAUCCUUGCCUGUCCUUCUCAAUUUUGGAUUUCAACUCAUCAAUCAUUGUCCUGAUCUCAGACGCCACACUAGAUAUCGUCUCCUCGUUCUUCUUUUGACCAUCCUUUUCCGCUUUCUCUCUGAUCUGUUGCAGCGCCGACAUUAUCCCCUUGAUAUCACUGGAGAGAUCGACAUCGAAGUCGUCAUCGACUCGGAAUUUGGAGUCAGAUUUGGUGAGUACUGACUCGGCGGCUCGUUUCUUGGAGCUUGUUUUCGAAGUAGACAUUGUUAGUGUGACUAUUGCAGGAAUUGAAAUGAGAUUGAAAGAUUGAUUUUCUGUCAGUUUUGGUUUGAAAAGCGCGAAACGAAACUUGAGCUUCAAU